CCUACGGGAGGCAGCAGUAGGGAAUAUUUCACAAUGGGGGAAACCCUGAAGCAGCAACGCCGCGUGGAGGAUGAAGGUUUUCGGAUUGUAAACUCCUUUUGUUAGAGAGGAUAAUGACGGUAUCUUACGAAUAAGCACCGGCUAACUCCGUGCCAGCAGCCGCGGUCAUACGGAGGGUGCGAGCGUUACCCGGAAUCACUGGGUGUAAAGAGUGCGGUGGGGGGAAAGCAAUAGAGCUGGUAAAUCCUAUGGGUUAACCAUAGGACUAUAUUUGAAACUGUUAUACUAGAGUAUGGGAGAGGUAGCUGGAAUUCUUGGUGUAGGGGUAAAAUCCGUAGAGAUCAAGAGGAAGACUCAUUGCGAAGGCGACCUGCUAGAACGUAACUGACGCUGAUGCGCGAAAGCGUAGGGAGCAAACAGGAUUAGAUACCCGAGUAGUC
rnacentral:rRNA from 1 species